rnacentral:rRNA from 1 species
UUCCCCGGCCAUACCACCUUGACCGUGCCAGAUCUCAUCUGAUCUCAGAAGCUAAGCAGGGUUGGGCCUGGUUAUUAUGUGGACAGGAGAC